rnacentral:rRNA from 1 species
UUGACCUCGGAUCAGGCAGGGAUACCCGCUGAACUUAAGCAUAUCAAUAAGCGGAGGAAAAGAAACCAACAGGGAUUGCCUCGGUAACGGCGAGUGAAGCGGCAACAGCUCAAAUUUGAAAUCUGGCUCUUUUAGGGUCCGAGUUGUAAUUUGUAGAGGAUGCUUCGGCGUCGGCUCCGGUCUAAGUUCCUUGGAACAGGACGUCAUAGAGGGUGAGAAUCCCGUAUGUGAUCGGUUGCCCUUGCCAUGUGAAGCUCCUUCGACGAGUCGAGUUGUUUGGGAAUGCAGCUCUAAAUGGGAGGUAAAUUUCUUCUAAAGCUAAAUACUGGCCAGAGACCGAUAGCGCACAAGUAGAGUGAUCGAAAGAUGAAAAGCACUUUGGAAAGAGAGUCAAAAAGUACGUGAAAUUGUUGAAAGGGAAGCGCUUGCAACCAGACCUGCCUGCAGUUGCUCAUCCGGGCUUUUGCCCGGGGCACUCUUCUG